AAAGCGUGCGCAGGCGGUUAUGUAAGACAGAGGUGAAAUCCCCGGGCUCAACCUGGGAACUGCCUUUGUGACUGCAAGGCUAGAGUACGGCAGAGGGGGAUGGAAUUCCGCGUGUAGCAGUGAAAUGCGUAGAUAUGCGGAGGAACACCAAUGGCGAAGGCAAUCCCCUGGGCCUGUACUGACGCUCAUGCACGAAAGCGUGGGGAGCAAACAGGAUUAGAUACCCGAGU
rnacentral:rRNA from 1 species